UACGGAGGGGGCUAGCGUUGUUCGGAAUUACUGGGCGUAAAGCGCACGUAGGCGGCUUUGUAAGUUAGAGGUGAAAGCCUGGAGCUCAACUCCAGAAUUGCCUUUAAGACUGCAUCGCUUGAAUCAUGGAGAGGCGGGUGGAAUUCCGAGUGUAGAGGUGAAAUUCGUAGAUAUUCGGAAGAACACCAGUGGCGAAGGCGGCCCGCUGGAACAUGUAUUGACGCUGAGGUGCGAAAGCAUGGGGAGCGAACAGG
rnacentral:rRNA from 1 species